GACGAACGCUGGCGGCGUGCCUAAUACAUGCAAGUAGAACGCAGUUGCGAACGGGUGAGUAACGAGUAGGUAACUGCCUGGUAGCGGGGGAUAACUAUUGGAAAUGAUAGCUAAUACCGCAUACUACCAGAUGGACCUGCGUUGUAUUAGCUAGUUGGUGGGGUAACGGCUCACCAAGGCAACGAGACAUAGCCGACCUGAGAGGGUGAUCCGCCAAACUGGGACUGGGAAAAGGCCCAGACUUCUACGGGGUGGAGCAGGAGGGAAUCUGCGGCGAUGGGGUGAAACCUGAACGAGCAACGCCGCGUGAGUGAAGAAGGUUUUCGGAUCGUAAAGCUCUGUUGUUAAGGAAGCGGUACUUAAACAGAAAGGGACGGCUAACUACGUGCCAGCAGCCGCGGUAAUAC
rnacentral:rRNA from 1 species